rnacentral:rRNA from 1 species
GGACCCGCACAAGCGGUGGAUGAUGUGGUUUAAUUCGAUGCAACGCGAAAAACCUUACCUACCCUUGACAUGUACGGAACUUGCCAGAGAUGGCUUGGUGCUCGAAAGAGAGCCGUAACACAGGUGCUGCAUGGCUGUCGUCAGCUCGUGUCGUGAGAUGUUGGGUUAAGUCCCGCAACGAGCGCAACCCUUGUCAUUAGUUGCUACAUUUAGUUGGGCACUCUAAUGAGACUGCCGGUGACAAACCGGAGGAAGGUGGGGAUGACGUCAAGUCCUCAUGGCCCUUAUGGGUAGGGCUACACACGUCAUACAAUGGCUGGUACAAAGGGUUGCCAACCCGCGAGGGGGAGCUAAUCCCAUAAAGCCAGUCGUAGUCCGGAUCGUAGUCUGCAACUCGACUGCGUG